rnacentral:RNase_P_RNA from 1 species
UGCCGUGGAUAGGCGAUCGCCACCGUAGCCUCCUCGGAGGCCGCGCUGGAGGAAAGUCCGAACACGGCAGGACACGGUGGUGGGUAACGCCCACCGGCCCGGUUGCGGGUCAGGGAAAGUGCAACAGAAAGUACACCGCCGAUCGGGUGCCUUGGCAUCCGAGGUAAGGGUGAAACGGUGCGGUAAGAGCGCACCUCUCGGACGGCAACGUCCGGGGUAAGGCAAACCCCACCGCGUGCAAACGCAAGCAGCUCCGACCGGUUCUCCGGUCCCUGUGGUCCGCAGGCUGGAGCGGGUAGCGUGCAGGAGGCGUUCGGCGACGGACGUCCCAGAGAAAUGGUCGCCCAGAAGCCUCAACCGCUUCGGCACAGAAUUCGGCUUACGUCCAUGGCAACCA